rnacentral:rRNA from 1 species
UAAGCGGAGGAAAAGAAACUAACAAGGAUUCCCCUAGUAACGGCGAGUGAAGAGGGAAAAGCCCAAAUUUGUAAUCUGGCUCUUUUAUAAGGGUCCGAGUUGUAAUUUUGAGAACUGUUUUCUGUGCUGGACCAUGUACAAGUCUGUUGGAAAACAGCAUCAUUGAGGGUGAUAAUCCCGUACAUGAUAUGGACUACCAGUGCAAUAUGAUACAGUCUCUAAGAGUCGAGUUGUUUGGGAAUGCAGCUCAAAGUGGGUGGUAAAUUCCAUCUAAGGCUAAAUAUAGGUGAGAGACCGAUAGCAAACAAGUACCGUGAGGGAAAGAUGAAAAGAACUUUGGAAAGAGAGUUAACAGUACGUGAAAUUGUUAAAAGGGAAACAUUUGAAGUUAGACUUGUUAUUGUUGGUUCAGCUUCUUUUUUUAAUUAGGAGUCUAUUCCAAUGGUUGACAGACCAGCAUCAAUUUUUGAGUGUUAGAUAAGGGUCAUGAGAAUGUGGCAACUUUGGUUGUGUUAUAGCUCUUGGCUUGAUAUAAUGCUUAGGAUUGAGGAACGCAGUGAGCUUUUUAUCAAGUGGAUUCUCUUUUGAAUCUUCAUCACUACGGA